UAGCGGCGGACGGGUGAGUAACACGUGGGUAACCUGCCCAUAAGACUGGGAUAACUCCGGGAAACCGGGGCUAAUACCGGAUAACAUUUUGAACCGCAUGGUUCGAAAUUGAAAGGCGGCUUCGGCUGUCACUUAUGGAUGGACCCGCGUCGCAUUAGCUAGUUGGUGAGGUAACGGCUCACCAAGGCAACGAUGCGUAGCCGACCUGAGAGGGUGAUCGGCCACACUGGGACUGAGACACGGCCCAGACUCCUACGGGAGGCAGCAGUAGGGAAUCUUCCGCAAUGGACGAAAGUCUGACGGAGCAACGCCGCGUGAGUGAUGAAGGCUUUCGGGUCGUAAAACUCUGUUGUUAGGGAAGAACAAGUGCUAGUUGAAUAAGCUGGCACCUUGACGGUACCUAACCAGAAAGCCACGGCUAACUACGUGCCAGCAGCCGCGGUAAUACGUAGGUGGCAAGCGUUAUCCGGAAUUAUUGGGCGUAAAGCGCGCGCAGGUGGUUUCUUAAGUCUGAUGUGAAAGCCCACGGCUCAACCGUGGAGGGUCAUUGGAAACUGGGAGACUUGAGUGCAGAAGAGGAAAGUGGAAUUCCAUGUGUAGCGGUGAAAUGCGUAGAGAUAUGGAG
rnacentral:rRNA from 1 species